CUCCUCCUCCUGUUCAUCCUCCUCCUCUGCCUCCUCCUCGUCGAUGGAGGAGCGCUGACGGGACGGGACGCGGCUGGAUCUCUGCUUGGGUCGACAGUCUGGACAGAACCAGUCGCCCUCUGGAACUGACUGAGACAAACAGAAGGAGCUGUUUCAGUUUUACGAAUCCUGUACCUGAGAGGAAGAAAAGUACAGUAAGGGAUCAGUGAACUUCACAUCUGCCCGUGACUCUGCAGAAGCCAGAUCCCCAUCAGGCUAAGUGUGAACUCACUCACUCUGAGGACAGAGCAGUGGCUGUUAACUGUUGUCAGGGACAUUCGGAACAAGGCCCGACAAGAUGCGACAGCGAGCGUUGAGGACGGAGCGAGACCAGAGGACGCUUCGCUCCAGACUGGACAGGUGGACAAACACCUGAACACACACACCAGCAUGUUGAUCCCACCGCAGACACAAACAGUCUUGGUUGUCUGCUUUCUUGCAGACUAAUAGAAACCAACAUCUUCAUUUUCACCAACAACACCGUCAACAUUUCUGACAGCCAAUCAGAGCACAGUCUUCACCUUACAUAAUAAAUGAGUCGUGUGUUUUUCUGACCUGAGACAGACUGGAGCAGGACUGCAGAGACUCCCUCCAUCGCUCCAACACCGUCUUAAAGACUCGACCGCUGUCACUGCCAUCUGACGGACAGACACACAGAGAGGCUGAUUUUUAACAGUGAACAGGCUCCUCCGAUGGGGACAUCAGAACCGUUCACCACGGAGCUGGACCUGAUGAUGACGAUGAUGAUGAUAUCUUUACAAUUUCAUCUUCACUGUCUCUUAUUAUACAGAAGUCAUACCAUCACUGGCCUGGUCCUCGUCCUUCUUCCUGCUCUUCUUCAUCUUCUGCUCUUUCUUUGAGUCUUCCUCACCUGUUAGGGGGGGGUGGUAGUUGAUUGACAUGUUAGGUGCAGAGCGUGAACCACAGUGACCACUAGAGGUCGUAUCUGGACAUCUAAUGUGAUUUACAUCGAGUCUGUUCAGAACCUCCCCUCCCUGCUGACACACCCUCCCAGACCUUUCCGGGCCUGCGAAGAGAGACUCACCCAGCGGAGCUUUGAGGAAGCGUCUCUCGAUGCCUUGCUCGAUG